CCUACGGGAGGCAGCAGUGGGGAAUAUUGGUCAAUGGACGAGAGUCUGAACCAGCCAAGUAGCGUGAAGGAUGACUGCCCUAUGGGUUGUAAACUUCUUUUAUAUGGGAAUAAAACAGGGUAUGCAUACCCUCUUGUAUGUACCAUAUGAAUAAGGAUCGGCUAACUCCGUGCCAGCAGCCGCGGUAAUACGGAGGAUCCGAGCGUUAUCCGGAUUUAUUGGGUUUAAAGGGAGCGUAGGUGGAUUGUUAAGUCAGUUGUGAAAGUUUGCGGCUCAACCGUAAAAUUGCAGUUGAAACUGGCAGGCUUGAGUACAGGAGAGGUGGGCGGAAUUCGUGGUGUAGCGGUGAAAUGCUUAGAUAUCACGAAGAACUCCGAUUGCGAAGGCAGCUCACUGGACUGCAACUGACACUGAUGCUCGAAAGUGUGGGUAUCAAACAGGAUUAGAUACCCGAGUAGUC
rnacentral:rRNA from 1 species